UUGCAAUGCUCUUUACUGAAAAGGUUUUCUUUUAAGUAGCUUUUGCUAACCUUUGUAUAAAAUUGUGUCAGUUAGGAUUUUAAGUUGUUUUAAAUGGAUACUGUCAACUUGAAAUAUAGUUAGUUUUUUUGUUUUUGUUUGUUUGUUUAAGUUCAGCUGUUUCAGGUACAAGCCAGCCCCUGAAAUCACCUUGUUAGUUUGGGGGCUUUUAUGUACAUUUCCUAUUUGAUAAAAUGUGAUGUGUUUUCUCCUCUCUCUCCUGUGUUGCUGUGUCUAUCCUUACAAAGAUAAUCAAUUAUUAGAGAAAAAUAUUUCUUUAUUUUUGUUUAUAGUAAGCUCAAAAAAGUGAUUUUUUUUUUAGUUGAUAUUCAGAGAUUAUCCUUUUUUUCCCUUUAACAAACUGUAGAAUACUAGUAAAAGUAGUGGGUAGUGGCCAAGUAAAUUUCUGAAGAUGUACACAGCAAGCUUUUGAAGCUAACUAACUCCUAAAUACAAAGGGACCCAGGAAAAGAUACUUCGUGUUAUUUUCUCAGGUAAAUACUCCCCUCUGGGCAGCCCCAUCACUGAGGCCAGGGAAGUAGUGGUACAAAUGUGGAAAACUGAAUCAAAUUUUUCACUCGCUCUUUUACUUAGACUUCAUCCAUAUUGCCUCUCCCUUCUUCCUCAAACUGUGGUUUGCCUUGCCACUCAUCCAAGUCUGAUCCAUCCUUAGUUUCCUAAUUCUCCCACUUGGUCUUAUCUGGUAAUUAUACACUUAAAGCACUGAGAUGCGCCUACAACUUAAACUUCCCCUUAAAGCGUUCUGUGCAGGAAUAUAUAUUACCCAGCAUGUUAAUGGUACUGUCUGUAGUUCCAUAGUAGCAGCCAUGUUAGUCUGUAUCCGUAAAAAGAAAAGGAGUACUUGUGGCACCUUAGAGACUAACACAUUUAUUAGAGCAUAAGCUUUCGUGAGCUACAGCUCACUUCAUCGGUCAUGAAAGCUUAUGGUCUAAUUAAUGUGUUAGUCUCUAAGGUGCCACAAGUACUCCUUUUGUCUGUAGUUUAAAAUCUUAUCUUUUUCUUAAUGAGUCAUAGCCUUAAUUAAUUUACACAAUUUUUGUAGACAGCAGAGUAAAGAUAAGAUUCUCUGACUGUGAUGCCUGGUAAGUGAAGUGGCAAUCUAAAUCUUAUACACCAUUUACCUCUGUAGUAUUUUUCUAGAUUGUCCUCCAUAUCAAGCUUGUUCUAACACCCACAAUUGUUCUGUCAAAAUAUCUAAAUUUGUGUUAGAGGGCUAUACAAGUUUGAAUUUAUUUACCUUAUCACAUGAUAUAGAUCAGCUGCCAUCUGGAGCUUUUGAGAUCUACUACUAAAUAGUGCAGUUUACAGUGUUGUUUUCUGAAUGCAGAACUCAGGACUUGUAACCUGGAUCCAUAGACUGUAGCUUUAAUUAAAAAAACAAAGCCAAAAAACCAAACCCCACCUUUUUUUAAAUGGGAAUUUUUGCUUUCCUCGGGAACACAGGUUUUUAAAAUAGUUACAUAGUUACAUUUUUUUAAAAUGUAGGAUAGCAUCAGGCUUUUCCUGAUACAAAGGAUAGGGAUUUUCUAAUGUAUUUGAUAUGUUGGCCUAGCUCUGCUUUUAUUGAAACUGGCACUUACUGCUAUACAAAUGUUUAAAGCCUGGCUCUGCUGAAUGAAUACUAGCCCUAGAUUAUUGGAAACUGACUACAUUUUUGUUUGUAUUUCAGUUGUUUAUACUGUAAAUCACUUACUGAACAGAAGAAUUAAAAACAUGUUUGGAAAAGCUUUUCAUGUUAUAGUAAAAUAUGUUUACAAAGAUAAUUACUAUAUUGCUUAAACUUUUUUUUAAGUUUAAAAGAUCCCACAGCUGUAUGAGACAAGUGGUUUAUAGUAAGAAAACAAAUGUGAGCUGUCUGAAAUUAUUAUUGAAUGUUUUGCCUAGUAAUUGUACUUGCUUAAGUGUUUCAAUUGACCGUAAUCAUGACAAAUGCAACAUUCCUGGAUAAUCUUUGUUAGAAUUUCUUUUUUGUCUGCAUCAUACUGAGUAUACUCUGUUCAUGUUAUUUUAAAAGAAUAUGAGAAACCCAUCUUGGACCUUUACCAGUAGCCUUUUUCUUUCUAAACAAUGCAUUCUCUUCUGUUAUUACAUACUGUAAAUCAAACUGUUCGAUAGCUGACCCUGCUGCAAGAGAGCAAAAAGGCAAAGGUGACCU